UACGAAGGGAGCUAGCGUUGUUCGGAAUCAUUGGGCGUAAAGAGCGUGUAGGCGGCUCGAUAAGUCUGCUGUGAAAGUCCAGGGCUCAACCCUGGAAGGCCGGUGGAAACUGUCGGGCUAGAAUCCGGAAGAGGCGAGUGGAAUUCCCGGUGUAGCGGUGAAAUGCGCAGAUAUCGGGAGGAACACCAAUGGCGAAGGCAGCUCGCUGGGACGGUAUUGACGCUGAGACGCGAAAGCGUGGGGAGCAAACAGG
rnacentral:rRNA from 1 species